UCCCGGAGGAUCCAUUCUUGUCGAGUGCUGCUCGUCGGAGCGGCAAUGAUCGAAGAGCCCAGGAACAGGCUUUGGAUCCAGUGUCUCAUCGUGGCACUGUGUUCGAUCCUGGAGAUGCUUUCGUUGUUCGGCUUGCGGCAGCAGCGGAGAAGCGAGCUGAGAUGGAGAAGCACAUGCAAAGGAUCACCGGGUUUGGGAUGAGGAGGCCCGGCAACAAGCACUCCCACAGGAUCCGUGAGGUGGAGAAUCUGGAGAAGCCCGUGGUUGAGGCAAAUCACUCGGCCAAUUCUGGAGGUUCGCAUUUGGCUGCUCGUGUACACGACUCAGAUGCCAAGCCUUCCACCUUGGAGGUUAAGCUUGAGCUCGACGGAGCUUAGAGCGAAAGGAGGUACGCUUUUCGGUCGUUUUGGACUGAUGAUACGCUUGAGGUUGCAGGCACAGAAUGAAGAUUCAUGAAACAAAUUACUUCGGUUUUUUUAAACCGCAACAGGCAAAGGCAGGUCCGUGGUAUUCAAUCGAAAUUAUAACCGAUGGAGAAGUCUGGAGGCAUUUGAAUUAGGAGAUUAUGAUUUGCAAGUCUCAAACAAGGCAACAAGACAACAACUUUUCAUUAAGACAACAGAGAGAUAUUGAAUUGGGGCAAACAAACACUUUGGACAUUUAAUUUCCUGUUUUUAAAAAUAUAAACUUUCAAUAACAUUUCUUA